rnacentral:rRNA from 1 species
CAGUCGCCACGGUAAUACGAAGGGUGCAAGCGUUACUCGGAAUUACUGGGCGUAAAGCGUGCGUAGGUGGUGGUUUAAGUCCGUUGUGAAAGCCCUGGGCUCAACCUGGGAAUGGCAAUGGAUACUGGCGAGCUAGAGUGUGUCAGAGGAUGGUGGAAUUCCCGGUGUAGCGGUGAAAUGCGUAGAGAUCGGGAGGAACAUCAGUGGCGAAGGCGGCCAUCUGGGACAACACUGACGCUGAGGCACGAAAGCGUGGGGAGCAAACAGGAUUAGAGACCCCCGUAGUCCCUGUCUCUUAUAC